rnacentral:lncRNA from 1 species
CAAGGCACACUUUCCUUGUCGAGGUGGCCAUGAUAGCAAUUCUCGGUUGCUAAAGAAAUGAUAACAGUUCUGAAAAAAGAAAAGAAAACUUGCCAUAGUAGGGUUUGUUUCACGGGAUGACAUCGUACAACGCCCAGUGCAAUUUUUGUUCUGGUUAAAAAAUACCUUUGUGGCUCUCAUGUAUGUUUGUGUUAUUCAUUUACAAAUGUAUUUCCGCAUAUUUUUUAAAAUGUU